rnacentral:rRNA from 1 species
CGAUUCUGGCUCAGGAUGAACGCUAGCUACAGGCUUAACACAUGCAAGUCGAGGGGCAGCAUGGAGUUUGCUUGCAAACUCUGAUGGCGACCGGCGCACGGGUGAGUAACGCGUAUCCAACCUUCCCUAUAGUAGAGGAUAGCCCGGCGAAAGUCGGAUUAAUACUCUAUGUUUCCGUUGCAGACAUCUAAGAUGGAACAAAGGCUUGCCGCUAUAGGAUGGGGAUGCGUCUGAUUAGGUAGUCGGCGGGGUAACGGCCCACCGAGCCAUCGAUCAGUAGGGGUUCUGAGAGGAAGGUCCCCCACAUUGGAACUGAGACACGGUCCAAACUCCUACGGGAGGCAGCAGUGAGGAAUAUUGGUCAAUGGGCGAGAGCCUGAACCAGCCAAGUAGCGUGCAGGAUGACGGCCCUAUGGGUUGUAAACUGCUUUUAUAUAGGGAUAAAGUGCACUACGUGUAGUGUUUUGUAGGUACUAUAUGAAUAAGGACCGGCUAAUUCCGUGCCAGCCGCGGC